CCUACGGGUGGCAGCAGUGGGGAAUAUUGGACAAUGGGGGCAACCCUGAUCCAGCCAUGCCGCGUGUGUGAAGAAGGCCCUCGGGUUGUAAAGCACUUUCAGUGAGGAAGAACGCCUGGUGGUUAAUACCCAUCAGGAAAGACAUCACUCACAGAAGAAUCACCGGCUAACUCCGUGCCAGCAGCCGCGGUAAUACGGAGGGUGCGAGCGUUAAUCGGAAUUACUGGGCGUAAAGCGCGCGUAGGUGGCUUGAUAAGCCGGUUGUGAAAGCCCCGGGCUCAACCUGGGAACGGCAUCCGGAACUGUCAAGCUAGAGUGCAGGAGAGGAAGGUAGAAUUCCCGGUGUAGCGGUGAAAUGCGUAGAGAUCGGGAGGAAUACCAGUGGCGAAGGCGGCCUUCUGGACUGACACUGACACUGAGGUGCGAAAGCGUGGGUAGCAAACAGGAUUAGAUACCCCGGUAGUC
rnacentral:rRNA from 1 species